rnacentral:rRNA from 1 species
AAGCCUGACGGAGCAAGACCGCGUGAGGGAGGAAGGCUCUUGGGUUGUAAACCUCUUUUCUCAGGGAAGAAGUACUGACGGUACCUGAGGAAUCAGCAUCGGCUAACUCCGUGCCAGCAGCCGCGGUAAGACGGAGGAUGCAAGCGUUAUCCGGAAUUAUUGGGCGUAAAGCGUCCGUAGGCGGUUCAGAAAGUCUGCUGUUAAAGCUCACAGCUCAACUGUGAAUCGGCAGUGGAAACUUCUGGACUAGAGAGUGGUAGGGGUAGAGGGAAUUCCUAGUGUAGCGGUGAAAUGCGUAGAUAUUAGGAAGAACACCAGUGGCGAAGGCGCUCUACUGGGCCAUUACUGACGCUGAUGGACGAAAGCUAGGGGAGCGAAAGGGAUUAGAUACCCCUGUAGUC